UAUACACUAGUCGCCUCCGGAUCUCUAAUAUAAGAAAUACAUAGAAUUUUCUACCUUGAAAAUACUUCCAAAGAGAAAGGGAGAGACCCCCGUUUGAUAGUUAAUACUUGCAAGAAGUUCUUAAAGUAACUACAGGCAGUUGAUCAUAUUCAACACUGGAAGUAGAAAGGUAGAACCAGAUCAAUCUUCAUGUAGAAAUAUUGCAGUAGAGAAAGUGGGGUUCAAGUGAUAUAGUUUUGGCGCAUGACGGGCAGGGCAAGGAAAAAGUGGAUGGAGCAAUGCCGAAGAACUCAGAUAUUAUAUUAUAUAUACUAAAACUCAGUUGAGUCUGACACUGUUCAUAAAUAGUGACAACAGAAAUGCCCCUGAUUUAUGAGAUUCAAACUUAAAACCUUUUUUUUUUUUUUUUUUUUUUUUGAACAAUCGAUAUUAUCUACAUUAAGAGGAGAGGGUGCGGUGGGCUUUUAGCGAAAAUCGAACCUAAAACCUUUCACUUAUUAAUGAAGAUAAAUACUACUAGACCGCAGUAAUAAAUGGCAAAACCUCCCAUUUAUAAAUAAAGAAAACUACUAAUAGACGUUAAUUUUGGUCUAUUGGCCCUCAUUCUCACAAAAGAGGAACCAAUACCCCCCUAAGACAUUCGUUUGACCAAAAAACAAAAAAAAAAAGAAGCCACCUACGACGCCGUUUCAUGACCUAUUAGGGAGUCUGGGACUGUACCGUACAUAUGCCUUUUCUGCUGCAAAAUUCGGAAAACCCCCAAAAUCAAACUACGCGGCAAACUGGCACCAAAAAUAUGGAGGGGAGUUCCGGCGCCUCUUCCGACGCCGCAAUCGAAACCCUAAGAAUCAGAUGAUGGUGCUUCGGCAACCUCGAACAAGUGGAGGAGAAGAUCCUGAUCCAUCCCGCCUUUUCCGACGACACGCGUACGGUAGUGAACUCAAUGGAAGCCGAGCUCACCAACAUGAACUUUAAAUCCAUCUCCGCCAGGUCCAUGCCCGACCCGCAUACGCUCCUAAGGUCCUCUCACCUCCUCGGCCCCAAAGUCCUCCAGGUAAAUCACACCUCUCUGUAUUUCUCGUUAAUUUUUCUUGUCCUCACACCAUUAUGCACUGGAUACAAGUACAUUUUCAUGAAACUCAAUAUGAAUUUCAUAAGAAGUUUUACGUGUCUCUCUAGUUCCACCUUCUUAAGUGAUUCAGGGAAAAAGGUGAAUAGAUAAAGGUCGCAUUUUGAGUUAACUGAACAUCUUUUGUUUGUCCUACUUUUUGAUCGGCAGGUCUGUUUGGAAGGUAAAGUUCCUGUACGUAACGGAAUUUGGAAAGUCCGGCAUCAGAUGCCUCAGUGAAGACUGGAGUAGUCAUCGGUAUCUUCUCCAUUUUCGAGUUCUUUCCAAAGAUGUACCUAAACAGAUUCCAUCAUCCAAAUCAUCCUAAGUGAAGAAGCACAAGAAAAGAAAAACAUGAUUAACUAAGGAUAACGCCUCAUCCAGAAACAUCACCAAAACCAGCUGACCCGGACAGCUUGUCUACUGAUCCCUCUACCACUACAUAAGGAAAGUCAGGAGAAGGGGAUUAAUUGAUUAGCCUUUCGCUCUCUCCAAAGGGUAAAGGCCAACGGAGUCAGGCGUCCGGCUGAAUGUGGCCUGAGAAAGUGGAUUGAUGAUCAGGAGACAAAGAAAGACAUGCAAAGGAUUUGCAAAGUCCCGCAAGAGGAUCAUCGUCCAUUGAGUUGGAUAUCUGCUCUCCACUGUCACUGACCGCUGGAUCCUGUGGCUGCCGCUGGAGAAGUACUGGGAGAUUAUGAGGACGUGGUCGAGGUUGAGAGCGCCUACGUGCACUCCACUCACAUCACAAUAAAAACCAACUGAACUUAAGGAUCAAAUGAUCUAGACCAUUAAAAUUUGAUCAAACAGUUACAAACAUUAAAUUUCAAUAGUCCAGAUCAUUUGAUUCUUAGACUCGGUUCCUUUGAAUUCAGAGAGAAUCCGGUUCCACAAUCCAAUAUUUCACCUUAUGCUUUCUCCUUGCCUUUGCUAGUAAGUGGCUACUUUGUUUCUUCUUAAUUUUCUUAUUAAUUGGGGUUUAAUUAUUCCACACACAUUAAGGAAUUCAAUUCCUAAUUUUGAAGAAAUUGGACUCUCUACAUGAGGAAGGUAUUCUAAUUCCUUGACACUUGAGGAAUCUGGAAUGGAUUUCUUCUACCAAUUAUGCUCUCACUUGUUUCUAAUUAUUCCAACAUUGCCUUCAUUUAACACUCAUUAUGCCAUCUUUUAAUAAAUAAAUAAAACCAAUUUAUAUAUUUUAAUACAGAUGAAUUUUAUUAUAUAAAUUUAAGGAUUAAUCUCAGUUUACUAUCCUAAAAUUUAUUGGUUUUCAACAUUUGGUAUAUGAAGUUUUUUUUAUUCUAGAGUGGUACCUAAAGUCAUAAUUUUGGAAUAGUCUUAUAAAUCCGUUAAGGUUGCUAUUAAGUCAACCGUUAAUUAGUGACGUGGCGCCCACAUGGACAAUGAUUGCGCGUCAUGUAUCAGUAUGGGCCAUAUAAAUAUAAAAAAUUAAAAAAUUAAUGCAAAUUAAAAAAGAAUUAAAAUUUGCAAUGGACAAAAAGCAGCUAAUAGACAGAAAACAUAUCGAAAUCAGAUAAUGCAGAAGAGAAAUGCCAAAUGAAAACUGAUACAAAAUUUGCAAUGCACAAGAAGCAGCUAAUAGGUAAUGAUCUUCUUUUUCAUGCUUGCUAGAUGCCCCAAACUUGUAAAAAAACAAAAAUUGCUAAAUGUAAACGAAUCAAUGUGUGUGGUGUGGGGCAGUAAAUAUAUAUAUCGACAUGUUCUCCAAGUGGUCUUAGCCAUGAGUGUUCAUGGCUUCCCAGACCAUGCUCUUCGGGACUGGAUUCAACAACUUUCCAGACCAUUUUUGAACAACAAUAAAUAAAUUUUUCUUAUCACACACAAAUCAAACCGAGAAAAUCCUUUUGUUCACACGGUAUAUUUUUUUCUUUGGAACCCAAAAAAAGAACUUGGUAAGACAUUGGGAUAAUCUCAUAUUUGAUUUGGGUUUUUUGGAUUUGUUUUCAAACUCUCUCCUUAUCUCUCAAUUUCUAUUUUAAGAGUAUAUUAGUAUUUACAUAUUAUUUUUUGUUAUAAUUAUCAUAAAUUUAAAAGAAUGGCUAUAGUUUUAUCUGGUUUCAAAUUUUGGUUAUUUUUUCAAAUUUUCCAAGAUUUCAUUGCCAAAAAUUUGAGAGACAAUGAGAGAUUUCAUUGCCGCCUGUUUAAUUAGCGUUACAACAAAACACAACAUUCAUGCACGUAAUAAUCCGGCUAGCAGAGACAGAGAAGCCCGAUCGUGAGCUUCUCAUUCCGGUGGCGGACUCCGGCGACGAAGAUGCAUCGUCCAAACGCUCCUCGUCUUCCUCCUCCUCCUACCGCACCGGCCGCGAGUGUUAUCCUAUUUCCAGUAGCGACUUUCUAUAUCACGUGGUGGUUAAAGCUUUUUGGAUAGCUUCUUCUCUCCAAUAUAUGCUCAACUUGGAAUCAACAUUUUUGUUAUGUCGUAUUCUGAAAUGCAUACCUUAAACCCCAUUAUUGGAUCGGUAUAUUCUAACUUGCAUUAGUCAUUGGUCUUGGGGUUUGACGUUGCUGAGCUAAGUAUGUAGUCCAUUUUCUCUCUUCAUCUCACCCUAGCUAGAGACAAAUUUUGGUGCGAUAAUCCAACUUCAGUAAAGACAGUUUCUAUCCGACUUCAGUGAAGCUAGGGUUUGAUUUUCUUCAACUUGGAUGUUUAAUUGUCUUAUUCUUAGAAAAAGGUUUUUGGUUGCACGAGUGACCAUAUAUCCUAUCUAGAGUAUGUAACAAUAAGAAGAGAUGGGAACAAAAGAGAGAUCUGGAAUCACUCUAGCCUUUGGCAUCACACCAAAGGUGCAUUGGAAAUCACCCCAAUAGAGCAAUUAGAUAAAUUCAGGCAUCACAGCGAAGGUGACUAAAUUUGGAAUCACUCCAAGUCAACCUGUGCCUCACACAUAAGCAGGAAAUCCAAAAGCUUACAAAGUAGCUCCUUUUUUAUCUAUGGAAUAGGAGGAGCCUCAUGCACCAUUGGUUCGAGGAGAGGAAGCUUUCUACACCAAAAAGACGCCAAAAAGUUUGGCAGCAAAAGAAGGAGCUUUGAAGUCUGAAAAAUGCACCGAAAAAUGGAUGCAGAAGAGAUUCCAAGCAAAAGGUUUGACAAGGAAGAAAAAGCUAAAAAGUGGAAAGUGACAGCAGAGAAACCUGAAGAAAGAGAGGCCAAGACGAAAGAAAAGGCUUUGAGAAAGUUGAAAGCUUCUCAUUCUGCAGAUCUCAAACCAUAUAGAAAGGUGGCAAUUGACAAGAAGGUUGAUAAGAUCCAAAAGGUGACUUCGGUUAUUAAGAACUUACCAGAGAAGAUAUAGCGAAAUCUGUCAAAGUGUCCAGAGGAUCUCAGAAGCUAAACCGCACAAUUGAUUCCUGGUCAAAAGAGAUGAGGUUAGAAGGGCAGCAGUCAAAGGACAUUGCGAAAGACUACGUGGAAGGAGCUCUUGAUUGUGAGGGUUCUCUUGUCAUACUUAGCAAGUUGCACAGGAAGCUUCAGAGUACGGCUCACUUGAACAAAAAAACACAAUUCUGUGACGGAAUUUGAAAAACCGAGGCGUUCUGAUGAUGGUUUUCGAGGAAUGGAAAUCAAGAGCAUAAGGAGGUGAUCAGAGACAGCCUUGUGAGGCAGAAACUGGUGGAAAAUACAGAAUCUGUCGAAAAGGGUAAACUAUUUUCGAUAUAUGGAUUCGUGCUUGGAUACUCCCUCCACCAGCUCAACCCAGAGUUCUAUGUUUCAUACCACCAGUGACUCCACCAUUGCAGCAACAACAGCUGCUUCGCAAAAGGCGGGGAAAGGGCCGAGUCUGAUUGCCAAGCUCAUGGGAAUCAAAGAGUACCCCUCGAGACCUUUGCAGGCCGCGCUGAAGAAACAGUUUGAGGAAGGUGAGAAGACUGUUUCAAGUCAAUGUAUUGGCAACCAAUUACUGUGACAAUCACAAUCUUGAAACGCUCAUCUCAGAAAUGUAGCAUGUAACUCAACUGAGCGGAAAAGAAAUCACUUAUAGAAGGAAAAUCCAGCCAAAGAUCCUAAAGUAACUAAAUCAGUUACCAAAAAUGUUGAGUGAAGAAAGUGAGAAGAGAAUUAUUACGGACUAUAAAAGUGACGCUUCCCCAAUCAAAGCUGGGCUUGCAGACAAAAACCUUAAGGAAGAAGAAACAGAUGCCUUUGUAUCUCAGAGUGAGUGGAGGGCAAUCAACGGAAUACAGAAAUUUCAAACUUCUUGGAAAAUCACGGAUUGUAUGAAGAUAUAUGCAUCCAUUCCCUCCAAGCUUUGAAAGGCCACUGAGGCUGGGUGGGGUAUGAACAUCAUUCCCUCCAAGAUCCUUAGGGAUUGCAUCAUCAGGAAAUUUGG